rnacentral:rRNA from 1 species
UACGUAGGGGGCGAGCGUUGUCCGGAUUUAUUGGGCGUAAAGAGCUCGUAGGCGGUUCGAUAAGUCGGAUGUGAAAUCUCCACGCUCAACGUGGAGGGGCCAUUCGAUACUGUCGUGACUCGAGUCCGGUAGGGGAGUGUGGAAUUCCCGGUGUAGCGGUGAAAUGCGCAGAGAUCGGGAGGAACACCGGUGGCGAAGGCGGGACUCGUGGGCCGAGUACUGACGCUGAGGAGCGAAAGCGUGGGGAGCGAACGAG